UUCUGUCCCUGUUGUGUCCCCCAUUGUUUGUCACGUCCCGUCCUGUGUCACGGGUGUGUGCACAUAUCUGUGCCGGAGCCGCUCUGCCCUGCUGCGUAGCCUGGUGCGAUAGGACCAGUCCCGGGGACUUGAACUUUGUAACGUGGUGUGUAGUUGGACUCUAGAUGGUAUUCCUAGAUUGACACAAGCUGUUUGGAGCUGUAAAGUUAUCCUGCAGCCCUUUGACUUUUGCCUUAACUUUCCUUCAGGUGCAGAAGGAUUCCCCUGAUCAGGAAGUUAUGCCAGAGAGCAGCAGUCAAGUUGAGGAGGGCAAGGUGGUCCACUUGCAACUUCUCCCGGCCAAGGAUGCCCGAUGCCAGGUGCUGUCACUGCCCUAGGUGUGCCAAGGAACAGAGGCAAGCGGGU